AGGUGGCAAAGGAUAUUCUCACUACAAUUUAGUAGUAAUUUGUUUGGUUCUACUCCCUCCGUUCCGAAUUACUUGUCUUGAAUUUGUCUAGAUACGGAUGUAUCUAGAUUCAUUUUAGUGCUAGAUACCUCCGUAUCUAGACAAAUCUAAGACAAGUAAUUCGGAACGGAGGGAGUACUAUCAUAUAUGUCAUCCAAAUUUUUAGUACUAAUUGAUGCAAUUGUUAUGCUACUUCUUCAUGCAUGGUUUCUUGCAUGUUCCUUAAAAAAGCUUAGUACCGAUCGUUUGGUUUAAUAUAUUUUCAGGCAAUCAUGGUUGAUUUAUUUUUCUUGUAAGAAGAGUGAAUGCAUUGUUU
rnacentral:lncRNA from 1 species